AUUGAACGCUGGCGGCAGGCUUAACACAUGCAAGUCGAGCGAGCGGCGGACGGGUGAGUAAUGUCUGGGAAACUGCCUGAUGGAGGGGGCUAACUACUGGAAACGGUAGCUAAUACCGCAUACCAUCAGAUGUGCCCACAGGGGAUUAGCUAGUCGGUGGGGUAAUGGCUCACCUAGGCGACGAUCCCUAGCUGGUCUGCGAGGAUGACCGGCCACACGGGAACUGAGACAAGGCCCAGACCCCUACGGGAGGCAGCAGUGGGGAAUAUUGCACAAUGGGCGAAAGCCUGAUGCAGCCAUGCCGCGUGUGUGAAGAAGGCCUUCGGGGUGUAAAGCACUGUCGGCGGGGAGGCGUUACUCGCAGAAGAAGCACCGGCUAACUCCGUGCCAGCCGCCGCGGUAAUAC
rnacentral:rRNA from 1 species